rnacentral:lncRNA from 1 species
ACGGGUUUAGCCAAAUUUGACUAAACCCGAGCCCAAUCAAAUUGGGCUAAGCCUGGACGAGCCAGACUAUAAAUUUAACCAAAAUUAUGCCCAAAUGGAAUGAAGCCCAAACCUAAUUCGGCUGGGAUUGGUCCCAACAGACCAAAUUAGUGGAAAUAAGCCCAAUUCAAGCCCAAUGUGACUAAUUUGGGGCCAAAUUGACCCCAGAUUAAUUCUAACUCAGACCCAAAUAAACCACAGUGACCCUAAACCCGGAAUUAAACCCAAUUAAAUUGGGGAUUAAGCUUAUUGACCAAUUAGCAGGCCAAUUAACCCAUAUGGACCCAAUUAAAGCCCCAAUACGGAUGCAUUAGACUUGGGCUAUAGUUCGGGUAGGAUCCAAACAAAUAAAAAAGAAAUAAUAUGCUUAUUAUGAUGUGAUUUUAGGUGACUCAGGAUUCGUCACCAGGACGUGAGAAACAUGGGAGAGAGCGAAUCACGGUAAGUAACCUGCUCUAAUCUUUUAUGGAUCACGCAUGAAAUUUAACCUGUUAUACUUGUACUGUAGGUCAUGUACCCUAAAUUAUAAGCUAUGAACGGUGAAUGUAUAUGGCAUGCUUUAGUUAUACAAGUUAUGAUUAUAUGUGCUUUAUGAUUUCCAUUAUGCCUAUGAAAUAAGUAGAUUACAUUAUAUUCUAAGAUAUGGAUUAUGAAUCAUGUAUAUGAGUGGCAUGCGUUAGCCAUAUAAUUGGUGAUUAUGCUUAUAUCAUGCUUAUGUAGAUUUCAUGAUGCAUGUAGGAUGAAUGGAAUUACAUGUCAUAAUUUUCAUUAACAUGAGCAUAAAGAAUGAUGAUGAAUUGCCUCUAGUUAUUUGCACUGCUUGCAAGGGGUACCUAAGAGUUCUCGAUGCUACGGGCCGAAUGCAACUGAGCCGGCCUUGCCAGUGGCCGAUAAUGACUGAGCCAGCCCCGCCAGUGGCCGACUAAUAACUGAGCAGGCCCCGCCAGUGACCGAUAAUGGAUUCGCCGUAGCAUCCAUAAGG